rnacentral:rRNA from 1 species
AUGAAAUUGAAGGAUUUCUAUUAACUUGCAAAAUCAGAAUAGUAUUGUCAAAGUGCAACAUUAUUUCAAUUUACUAAAAACUCAAAAAUGCUUGAUCGUUAAGAACUUCUUUGGAAGUCAAGUUAAAAGUCCAGGUGGAUUAAUAUUCUUAGGAUAACUGGCCAAGUAUAUGUGCUAUAUUGAGUCUUCAGUUUAGGUUCUGUAUAUAUAGAUUCCUAGCCAAAAAU